rnacentral:rRNA from 1 species
GACGAACGCUGGCGGCGUGCUUAACACAUGCAAGUCGAACGGAAAGGCCCUGCUUGUUUCGGGUGCUCGAGUGGCGAACGGGUGAGUAACCUGGGAGUAACCUGCCUUUUACUUGGGAAUGACUUCAAGAAGCUGGUGAUAAUACCUACUAGGUGCGCGUGCUACUUGGUGGGGGUUGGAAAGUAUAGGCGGAUGGGGAUGGACUCGCGGCUAAUCAGCUUGUGGGUGGGGUAGUGGCUUACCAAAGCUUCGACGGGUAGCCGGCCCGAGAGGGUGAACGGGCCCCUUGCGACUGAGAGACGGCGCAGACUGGUACGGUAGGCAGCAGUGGGGAAUAUUGCACAGUGGGGGGAAGUGUGAUGAGGAAACGCCGGGUGCGGGAUGACGGCCUUCGGGUGAUGAACCGCUUUCGGCUGAGACGAAGCGGGAGUGACGGUAAUGGGUAAAGAAGCACCGGCUAACUACGUG